CGGAGUCCAAAAGAGGUAUUGAGCACUUACAGUUGCAACCGCAAGAUCACGCCUAUUGGCUAUUGGAAGUCCUAUUUCAACUUUUGGUUAUCCCGUAGCUUGCUCACUAAGCUUUGACUAUUUGAGCUAGCCUUUCCAUUAUACACAUAAUGAGAUAAAAAUAUUAAUGGUUGUCCUUGUGAUUCCCAUGAGGGGCUAUUCUUAAAAAGACCGAUUUCAACGCAGUCAAGUGCA
rnacentral:lncRNA from 1 species